rnacentral:rRNA from 1 species
UACGUAGGGUGCGAGCGUUGUCCGGAAUUACUGGGCGUAAAGAGCUCGUAGGUGGUUUGUCGCGUUGUCCGUGAAAUUCCCUGGCUUAACUGGGGGCGUGCGGGCGAUACGGGCAGACUGGAGUACUGCAGGGGAGACUGGAAUUCCUGGUGUAGCGGUGGAAUGCGCAGAUAUCAGGAGGAACACCGGUGGCGAAGGCGGGUCUC